rnacentral:rRNA from 1 species
UACGGAGGGUGCGAGCGUUGUCCGGAAUCACUGGGCGUAAAGGGCGCGUAGGCGGCGCGGAUAGUCGGCGGUGAAAGCCCGGAGCUCAACUCCGGGUCGGCCGUCGAUACUUCCGGGCUUGAGCACUGUAGAGGCAGAUGGAAUUCCGGGUGUAGCGGUGGAAUGCGUAGAGAUCCGGAAGAACACCGGUGGCGAAGGCGGUCUGCUGGGCAGUUGCUGACGCUGAUGCGCGACAGCGUGGGGAGCAAACAGGAUUAGAUACCCUGGUAGUCCACGCCGUAAACGAUGGGCACUAGGUGCUUGGGGGAGCGACCCUCUGAGUGCCGGCGCUAACGCAUUAAGUGCCCCGCCUGGGGAGUACGGCCGCAAGGCUGAA